rnacentral:rRNA from 1 species
GACGAACGCUGGCGGCGUGCCUAACACAUGCAAGUCGAACGGGGCAGCAAUGCCCAGUGGCGAACGGGUACGUAACACGUGAGGAACUUGUCCAUCGGCGGGGGAUAGCCGGCCCAACGGCCGGGUAAUACCGCGUACGUCGGCGAGACCGCAUGGUCUUGCCGGGAAAGCAGCAAUGCACCGAUGGAGAGCCUCGCGGCCUAUCAGCUAGUUGGGUGAGGUAAUGGGCUCACCAAGGCGACGACGGGUAGGCUGAUCUGAGAGGAUGAUCAGCCACAUUGGGACUGAGACACGGCCCAGACUCCUACGGGAGGCAGCAGUGGGGAAUAUUGCGCAAUGGGCGAAAGCCUGACGCAGCGACGCCGCGUGUGGGAUGACGGCCUCGGUUGUAA